ACAAUAUAUUUUGACUGUAAAUAUAUUGAAAUAUAUACAAGUUCAUUUUAACUAAUUUUACUCAUUUAAACUUUUUAAAAAUAUUUAUAUUAAUAAACAUUUUAAAUUUUUUGUACUUAGGUUUAUAUAUAUAUAUAUAUAUAUAUAUAUAUAUAGAUAGAUAGAUAGAUAGAUAGAUACACUGUAUAUAUUAGUUACAAAAAUACCUUAAUAUAUUGUAAAACAUAUAUACUACACUACAUUACAUUACAUACUUUUACACUACAUUAAGGUAUUUUUUUUUUGCCCCACUGGCAAAUAGAUGUUUUUUUCUGUUUUAAGCAUGAACUUGAAUAUUUUUUUUCUGUUUCCAGAUUUAUGCUUAAAAUAAGGUUUUAUGUGUGCCCUAACCUCUCUGCAUGUGUAUGUACAUGUGCUGCGGGACAUUCUUGAGAUGACAGACAUGCACACCUACAGGAGCUCAGGGGUGAAGCCCCCCCAUGGCGAAGGAAACGGCCCGAAGAAAGGCCUCAUGCUGGAGGGAGAGGGGCCCGGCAGCUUCCUCAACAAUGGAAGUUCUUGGAAGAUUCUAGGAAGGAUCAGACCUGAGGUGAUUCCCUGUGUUUUUGGAGGGCUUUGGUUUAAAGAUGAGCUUUUGAAACACUCUGGAAUCCUUGUCAGGACGUUUUCUUGCUUCCUACUGAACAGCCUCAGGACACAAGCUUAACAUGCACUGACGUGUGUGUUCAACCCUCCUACAGAUGUUGCAACUUUUGUUCUUAGUGUUCAUAAUAUUAAGUGUGUGAAAUUUAAUGGUUGACGAUAAAGAUUUUAAAAACACAUUUGCUUACUGAAACAUUUUUUCUGUGAAAUGUGAUCUGUUUCAGCCACAGACCCUUAAGAAUUAUCAAGUUGUUUGACUGAAACUUAAACGUGAAACUAACUGGGAGCAGUUUCUUUUUCCAGAUCUCGUCUCUUUUGUAAUAGUCUCGCUUUCGCCGCUUUCGUCUACAACUUCAGAUUGGAUCAGGGGCCAGUUGUGUAGAUGUCAGCACAUUUACAUGUUAGACUGGAUGCUGAAUUCACAAUGCAGACUGUCAGGAGACAAACUUUGCUUAAAUUCUUUCCAAAGCAUCCAUGACCCAACAGGUUUAAGCACAAAAGAUAAAAGGAGAGUAAGCAAUGGAGGUCCAAAACCCGUUUUGACACUUGUUGCAAAACCGUCAGUGCUCAGCCUGGACUUGCUUCUUUUUCUGAGGGAAGCGAUAAAGGUCACCAGAAGUCCAAAUGCUGUAUUAUUACAAUUUAAACAUGUUUAAAAUAUACUUUAUUCCUGUCAUGACAAAGCUGAUUUUUCAGCAUCAUUACUCCAGUCAGUUCAGUGUCACAUUCAAUUCAAUUCAAGUUUAUUUGUAUAGCGCUUUUUACGAUACAAAUCAUUACAAAGCAACUUUACAGAAAAUUAAGUUUCUACAAUAUUUAGUAGUAGCUUAUCAGUGGUGAUUGUCAGUUCAUGUGCAUAUAGCAGAAAUGUUCAGAAAAAUCAAUAAGAAGACGUAAACAAACAGACGAUUAACACUAUUAACAGCAAUUAUGCAAUCAAACUUAUAGCAAAAUGUGGUAGUUCUGUAUGUUGUCUCUGGGUUAGCAUCAUCUGAGGUCCUCUGAGGGGCUGGCAUCAUCUCUUCUCAGGUGUUCUGGAUCCAGACUGGAGCUUGUGUAAAUCCUAGUUACCACGGGAUGUAAAUCCCACAUGAUCCUUCAGAAAUCAUUUUAAUAUGCUGAUUUGCUGCUCAAGUGCUUAUUAUGAUCAAUGUUGAAAACAGUUGAGCUGCUUCAUAUUUUUUUUUAAACGUUUCAUUUUUUCCUGAUAAAUAGAUAGAAAAUGAAAGCAUUUAUUUUAAAUUGAAAUCUUUCAUCAUUUUAUAAUUGGCACUUUUGACAAAUGUUUGCUGCAUAAAAGCACUAAUUUCUUUAUUGAAAAAUAUCUCUAAAUAGGCACCAUUUAUCAAAUACAAAAAUAUUUUUAGACAUUUUAUUUAACAUUAAAUUAAUUGUACAUCUGUGCUGCUCUUCAAGAGCCAACUAGGACAGUGAGUCAAAUAUUUACCCACAGUGCCUGUGGCAUCAUUUUUGAAUACUAGUAUGAAUUUGACUUUCAAAUAUUCAUUCAGAUAAUGGCUUAAUUUUAAUUUAAUUUAACGAGAAAGGAUGGGCCCUUUGACGCAUAUGGUGGGAAAAGAGAGAAAGGCAUUAAACCAAAUCAGCAGUUUUUACCAAUCACACUAAAGUAUAUGGUUUAUGCUUCAUAAUUUGGUUCGCUAUAAAACAAGUUUUAAGCAUAAAGGUUCAGUUAUGGGUUUCAUGUGGGGCAAGUUUGUGCUCAGUGUUUCAAUGCGGUAACUCCUACACUUCAGUGUUUUAUUGACCCACUGCAAUCAGGGCCUUUAGACUUUCAACAAAUGUCAACCCUGCCACCCCCUCACCUUGACCCAAAUUCCAUCACUCAAACAUUCCUGCUUUUCUUUAAAGGUUUUAUUCUUGUGCAACUCUGUGUGUGCCAGCAAUUUCUCAGGUGAAGAAACCACACCUUGAAAUCGUUAAGUUGAUGUUAUUCUGAUGUGAUUAUCUGCAUUGUGCCAGUAGAAAAAAGAUCCAAACAACAUGUCAUCUUGCUCAUUCUUUAUUACUUUAUAAAACAAAGUGCAGUUGAAGAUGAACAGAACCUUUUUUUUUUUUCAAAAACCUGCAAAUGAACCAAGAAGAAAAAGCCUAAAUAAUUUAUAAUACAUAAUUAAAAGGUGGUAUUUACAUGAAAAAAAAAAACAAAAAAAAAACAUUCUAUACAGUUGCCAUUAUGAAGGCAAUAAAAUAGCCAGGUUUCUUCCUGGUAGAGGUAGA
ensembl:lncRNA